GCUGCUUAUUUGAUGAUUGACCACUAAAUAAAAACUUGUAUAGUACUUCAAAUAGACUUCAGUGGCACCUUGGGGUUCAGAGAGACUGCUGCUAGAGGGGGAUCCAACCCUGUCAGAGGCACGACAAAUGAGGAAUUGAGAUCCACUCAGCAUGCAAUCCCCUGGUUCGAAAAGAGAAAAACAUGUUACUGCCUUUUUGUGCUCCUUCAUGUCCAGGACAAGUGUAGCUGUUUGUCCCUUUAUGUCCCAUACCUAUUUAAUGAACACAAACACAACCACAAUCAAAUAAUUUCUUUUUAUUCUGAACGGGAAGCAGCUGAGGACUCCACAUUCAGUUAUUACCUUUACCAGAAGCAUAAUUAUAGAUGCAUAGACAAGCUAAAAGUCUUUCUUCAAGCUCCAAUCCAGGAUGCAAAAAUUGCUCAACCGCAGUUAGUAAGAUUUCACAUGCAGUAUGUCUCAAGUUAUCUUGCGUUCUUGCAAUUCCGCAUCCAACCCAUGCAAUGAUUGUAAGGCAUUCUCGAGAAACCUUCUUUAUCUCGCUGUUUAAUCCUGUCUUCAAAGCAUGAAAUACAGGCUCUCCUGUUUUAGUAACACUUCUAGCAAUCUUUUCGCACCAUGUAUCUGUAGCGGAGUCCUGCAACCCCAUAUGGAUUUACAAUUAUGUCUACAUAUGAAACCUUAACGGCCUGUUUGGAUUGGGGAAUUGUGAAAAAUAAACAUGAUGUUUGUCUCUCCUCCCAAAUCACUUGUUUGGAUAGCUUGAUGUCAUAGCGAAAACGAGAGGAAUCUUUUCCCUUAACCUGCAUUUUAAGUCUCUCCAAGAUUGGAGAGAUCUGUAGAAAAUGACAAGGAGUUUGUUUUUGCCACUUUUGUCCCUACUCUUUACCACAACUGGUUUCAGUUUUUACCUGUCUUACUCAUAUUUUUGUCUCCAACUUUCCCAAACAGGAGGAGAGGUUAAGAAAAUCUUUUCUCUAAAAUCCUCUCCUAAACCAUCUAACUAUCUAAGCAAGAAGGAAAUCAGUUUUCCUUCUUUUUUGUCUAUUUUCUUCUCUUUCCUCUACUCUAUAUCCUUUCUUUUUCUUUUCUCUUCUAGUUUAUCAAGCCGGGACGUUGGGGCUGUGUUUGGAUCAUGGAUUGUUGGGGGCACGUAUGGAGGGAAAGGAAAAGGUGCCGGAAAGAUAACAAGAUAACGGACUGGAGAGUCAGGAUUUAUUUUUUUGGUUUUCCUAUCAUUUCCUUUCCUUCGUCAAAUCCCAUUACGAUCCAAACACAGUUGAACUCUAGAAAAUAGGUUUAACUGUUUAAACUAUGCUAAACUGUUUUUUUUUUUUUUUUUUUUAUCACCACUCACCUGUAGUGUUGGAUCCAACCAGUUGAAGUUUCUUAUCAUAUUCCUGUGAUGCUGAGUGGCCAAACCUGUCUUUUUUAGCAACCAUGCUACUGUAUAUGGUUCCCCUGUCCAGGCAUAUGUUCCACCAAGGUUUGAUAGAAGAAAUGUUGACAAUUGCUGUGUAGCAGAAUUCUCUACAGAGGUCAAUGGCUCGGCGAGGGCCUCCACAGCUUCUUCUGUAUAUGUACUCUUACCUGCUAUGUGUCUUUACCUUGGCAUGCAAAGGAUUUCGUUGAAAAAUUCGAGGGCAAUGAACUUGGCUCGCUCCUGGUUACUUCUUAGGAGAGAGAGAAAUGGUCCCACAGGAGCAGAUUUUGAAAUAUAUUUUCUGCAUUGCCCAUCAAACCGCAUGCAUUUCACAAGAAUGGUGGCUAAAGAAGUGAAGUCUUCCAUAUUAUUAUUUCUUGGAGCAUUCAGUAGCCCAGAAAGGACUCGUGGUGAAUUAAUUGCAGCCAAAUGCAUGUUAUUGGUUCCAUAGUCAAAUGAAGUUACUAAAACUUCAAUAAUCAUCAAUGACGCCGCAGGAGGUGUUGGCAGAAGUGAUGCUAAGCCUCCCUUGUACCUCUUUGAAGUGGACACAACCUCCACAAGUGUCGGAAGAAGUUCCAAAGUCUUUAUUGCUGCUGGAGGUGGAUUGAUUAGAUAAAUUAGAACUGCUGCCUCGUGCACAUUUCUUUUUAGAGCACUUGCUAAAUUGCACAAAGGUUUCCAGGAGCACGAGGCAGUGAUAUUGCAAACUCUGGACCCAAUUUGGAGCAAGGUGCCACCUGCUUCCUUGUAUAAAAGAAAUGUUAGUGGAACGAGAAAGUGAGUCAAGGCUUACAUUGCGGUAACUUAGCAAUCUCUUUUCAUAUUCUUGUACAUUUGAAGAUUCUGUGCCAGUGGCCUUUCUGUUCCUGUCCAGAAGCAUUGGGCAAAAGAUGAGAACUCACAACUGAAGCGGUACCAAAGGAGAGCUUACUCAAAAAAUUGCGAGUCAUCAUUGGCUAAAGCAAUAUCUCCGCAUCCAGAAUUUCUCUUUGGUAACUCUCCAUAUGACAUCACCUGAUAAUAUGUCAACCAGGCCUUGUAUCUCCUCGCCAUGUCUGCGGUUUUCUCACCCAUCUCACCCUCAUCAAAAUCCACCAACACUUCAGAUUUCAAACUCCUUCCUGCCAUUUCCCGCCUUUCAGAAGCCAUGCACGAAACAAAAAGACUCUCGCAUAGCUUUGGCACAAACUGUGUCCAAACAACUCUCGGGGAGACCAAAACAGCUUGGAGAAGAUGUAAGGCGACCUGCCACUCAUCUCCUUGGAGUUUCCUGACCAGACACAGGUAAAAAUAGGAGGAGGAAACCAGGUACCGGUUUGGAAUUCCCGCGGUGACUCCGUUUUCAUCGAGCAACGCUGGGACUUGAAGCAUUUGCUCUGAAUUCUUCAGCCUCAAUGAUUUUUCCUCCCCGCAUUUCGACUGAACAGCCGCCUCAAUACUCUCUAUUCCCCAGUACAGAUUUGACAGUGUAGAUUGCUCUGAGAAUUCAAAGAAUUCCGUCUUUUGGAUAUUCAGCUUUGAAGUGCAUUUCAAUUUCGCAGAUUUCCUGGUUUGGGAGUCUCUGAGGAACUCAUUGAUGUGUUGGUUGACUGAAGCAACAAUUACCCGUAUCGAUUCGAUAUUUGGUCUAUCUUUGUCAUGAGAAGAAACCAGAAAAGAAGAGGAAGAAGAGGUGGAAGCCAUUGAAUUGUGGGGAAUGUUGAGCUCAUGAAGAUGUUGUAGCAGAAGAUAAGAAAGGGGAGGAGGGUGACAUCACAAUAUUGCAGCAUUUUUGGAGGCUAGGGCCAUUGGCUCGUGACUGAAAUUGGGCAGCUUCCAAAUUUGUUUUGGUCCCUCUCUAUUGCUCUCUUGAUGCUACAGACAAGAAUUUGAAAGGUUUUUUUACUUGUUUCCCUCAGAGAAGGGGAGCCUGUGCUGAGAAAACAAACAAACACAGAUUUAUUGACUUUCAGCAACGGAGGUGUCCGGGCCCGCUCACGCUCACUUCAACCAAUUUUGGAGGCCCAAUCUCACCGCUCACUUGCUGAGAGUCCAAUUAAAGCUGGAUCAAAGCUUCGUAUUGACUGGCCCUAAAGGACUCAGCAAUACCUGGAAAGUUUCAAACCUGAGACCUUAGGAGGCUUUGGCGUAUCAGCUAUAUUUCGAUUCAUCCUUUUUUUUCAAGGGUUUCAUAAUUGGACGUUGAACCCAUUUCAUAUGAUGGGAGUCCUACAUUUUAUUUACAUAAUUUAUUCGAAAUUAUCCGAUAAAAUAAAAA